CACUCUUCAACUUCCCAUUGAGGAUCAUCUGGCAAGACACAAUUGUCCCCCCCUUCCCUCUGGGAUGUACCACAGAUCCUACCAGCAUAGUAUUGCAUGAAACCCUGCUUCUGAGAUGCCCAAUGAUCCUCUCAAAUCAGAAAAGUUCAGAAGCCCUGGGAUGCAGAGCAGCUCUGGUUCCCCAUGUGGCUCCCUGGGACCCCAGCUGCUCCUGAAAGUCAUUUCAAAUAAGUGACUCGUCCCCCCUGCUCAGCCAAUCAAAGAUGCACUAGAUUGUCACUUACCCUAAGUAUGAGUGGGAUUUAAAAACUUGCUUUCCUGGAGUAGAAAUGACAAGGCACAAUUUGUGAGGCCUGGUAGCUUUCUGCUUGUUCUGUGCAUGCACUAACCAGAAGCCACACAGUGAAGAUGUAGCAACCAUAUGGAAAGAACCAGGUGCCAAACUCCAGCAGCUAGCCAGUGAGUGAACCACCAUUGAAUU